AACGGACAGCCGCGUGAAUUUGCCGAAAGGCGCUUUCAUGAGGAAAGUCCGGGCUCCGCAGGGCAAGGAUAACGGGUAACGCCCGCCGAAGGCGACUUCAGGAAAAGUGCAACAGAGAUAUACCGCCUUGUCAAAGAUUCCAACGAAACCCGGUAAAGCGUUUUCGUUGGAAAGAGGAGGCGCAGCGGAAUGACCAAGCUUUGCCGCUUGCGGCGAAGCGCGGGAUAUGGAGCUUGUGCUGACGAGGUAAGGGUGGAAAGGCGAGGUAAGAGCUCACCCGCCGCAUGGGAACAUCGCGGCGCUGUAAACUCUAUCCGGAGCAACACCGUGGAGGAGACACAUGGUCUGCCCGACCGUCUCCGAGGAGGUGGCUUGAGCGUAUCGGCAACGAUACGUCGAGAUAGAUGGCUGUCGAUCACAGAACCCGGCUUAUAGUUCCGAUC
rnacentral:RNase_P_RNA from 1 species